UCAGGAACUGCAUCGCGUAGGGAUAAUGCUUCGCGAGUGACAUCGCAACGGGCAAAUGCACCUCGCGUGGGCUUGUAACUCUUUCUGUAUUUUUUGCAUAUAAUCCAGAAUUAAAAAUAAAAUUAUUGUGAGGCAAGGCAGAGAUGAGGAAAAAUGGUAAAACUACGUUGUAUUUUUUAUUGGUACUCGCAUUAUGUACAAGAGUAUAUGCAGCAAAUGCCAGACACAUAAUUACCAAAAGAAAUUACAGCGACCAAAGUGUGAGAGGCUAUCUAGCAGAGAGAACUUGCUGGUGGAACGAAGUAUGCAAGGAAGAAUUUCACAGUAAGUUUCGGUGUCGCUGCCCGAGAUGGUCCUAUUGCCGUGCACCAGGAAGAUAUUAUGAUGCGCACUGCAGCAUGACACGCACAGGAUACAUAUGGACCCAACCAGAAGCAUCGUUAAGUCUCGAAAUCGAUAAAUAAGUAAUGCUGACCCCGCGAAGAAGGACAGGUGAAUUAAAAAGAAUCGAUAAGAAUCUCUUUCUCUCUCUCUCUCUCUUGCAAUCAUAAAAUAAAGAAUGGCAGUACGAUACAAAUCAAAUAUCUCCAGUUUAAAAUCAAAAUCGGUAUUUGUUAGAGUUUCGCAAAUUAUUCAUCAAUUGAGAUGUUAUAUAAUUGUUCCAAAAGAGAUUUUCUAUAUUAGAGCAGCUUUAGAAAAUAUACGGAAAUAUUGGAUAACAUUCGAAGAAAGGGAUUUGGAUUUGAAGAAGAAAUGAUCUGUAUUUGCAGCGACAAAUACUUAUGCUGCCAAGAAUUUAUAAUUGUUGCGUUAUAUAAAAACUUAUUGUGAUUACUAUUAAUAAAGGUUUAAUGAAAUAAUUUGUAAA